AGUAGUUUGAUCCUGGCUCAGGACGAACGCUGGCGGCGUGCUUAACACAUGCAAGUCGAACGGAAAGGCCCUUUCGGGGGUACUCGAGUGGCGAACGGGUGAGUAACACGUGGGUGAUCUGCCCUGCACUUUGGGAUAAGCCUGGGAAACUGGGUCUAAUACCGGAUAUACCUCAUGGACUGCAUGGUUUGUGGGGGAAAGCUUUUGCGGUGUGGGAUGGGCCCGCGGCCUAUCAGCUUGUUGGUGGGGUGAUGGCCUACCAAGGCGACGACGGGUAGCCGGCCUGAGAGGGUGACCGGCCACACUGGGACUGAGAUACGGCCCAGACUCCUACGGGAGGCAGCAGUGGGGAAUAUUGCACAAUGGGCGCAAGCCUGAUGCAGCGACGCCGCGUGAGGGAUGACGGCCUUCGGGUUGUAAACCUCUUUCAGCAGGGACGAAGCGCAAGUGACGGUACCUGUAGAAGAAGGACCGGCCAACUACGUG
rnacentral:rRNA from 1 species